AUUAGCUAGUUGGUGAGGUAAGGGCUCACCAAGGCGACGAUCCCUAGCUGGUCUGAGAGGAUGAUCAGCCACACUGGAACUGAGACACGGUCCAGACUCCUACGGGAGGCAGCAGUGGGGAAUAUUGCACAAUGGGCGCAAGCCUGAUGCAGCCAUGCCGCGUGUAUGAAGAAGGCCUUCGGGUUGUAAAGUACUUUCAGCAGUGAGGAAGAUGGUUGUGUUAAUACCUGCAUCAUUUGACGUUAGCUGCAGAAGAAGCACCGGCUAACUCCGUGCCAGCAGCCGCGGUAAUACGGAGGGUGCGAGCGUUAAUCGGAAUUACUGGGCGUAAAGCGCAUGCAGGUGGUUUGUUAAGUCAGAUGUGAAAGCCCGGGGCUCAACCUCGGAAUAGCAUUUGAAACUGGCAGACUAGAGUACUGUAGAGGGGGGUAGAAUUUCAGGUGUAGCGGUGAAAUGCGUAGAGAUCUGAAGGAAUACCGGUGGCGAAGGCGGCCCCCUGGACAGAUACUGACACUCAGAUGCGAAAGCGUGGGGAGCAAACAGGAUUAGAUACCC
rnacentral:rRNA from 1 species